GAUUCACCUCCUUACACAGGUAGGGCAGUGCUCCAGGGAGAAGGGUCCAGGUAAAGGCCGGAGACCGACUGCUGCAUGCGCUCGCCUCUCUGGUCUGGGGCGUGAGGGGCAGCAGCUUCUCCUCCGCUUCUUCUUCCAAACGGCAGUCAGAAGGGAUAAACAUUGCAGUAUCCUGACCCAUCAGCGUUACACAUGUGCAGUCGUCGCCAGGAUUUAACUGCGUUGGUGACGAGGUUCGAUCCAUUUCAGGUGUGCCUCGUAACACACCGCCAGACCUGUCCAAUACCACGCCCCUCCUCUCACAAACACCCACUCUCGUCAGGAGCCUGGUGAAGGGCGGUGAAUAAUAAUCAGGGGGGAUGGUGACAAUCAAAAGGAGAGGCAGCCGACUCGUCACACUAGGAAAGGGAUCAUCUACGAUCAGACUUCAUUCUGAGUUUCUUUCCAGUGAGACAGCAACAGAUGCAGUCUCCAUCCUAGAGAGACAAAGCGGACUAACCGAGUUCUGAGUAUCUAACCCAGAGAGGCAGAAGACAUACAAAUAUCAGCAGCAAGAUUUAAGGACCCUUUGGUGCUCCAGGAGAUCGAGUGCUCUGUGUUCUUUCCCCAAUGCAUUGCUCCCAGCACAAGCAGUGGAUGAAAUUAUCGUCACCGGACUGCUCACUCAACCACAGAGAACUGUGGUCCUCAAGAGAGCGAUCCCCCUGCUCCAGCAGGAGGACGAGCACGCUGGAAUCAUUCAUGACGAAUGAUUUGAGUUCAAUCUCAGCAUACGUGACUUCAGGAGCUCCACUUACAGUGUCUACAGUGAAAAGAAUAAGAAAUUUGAAAUAUCAAAAACAAAUAUGAUUUGGAUUAUUUCGAAAAUACAUUAC